rnacentral:lncRNA from 1 species
CGCACAAGUACAAGAUGUAAAACAGGAUACAACUACAAUUAAAUGAAUAUACAAGUCAUCAUACAUUCAAUAUCCAUACACCAUUCACCACAGAUUCAUAAACAGAGCUCUGAAUAUAAAUCCACAACUAUCAGUUGAAACGUUUCCUACUCGGAAACUUAUUUUGAAAUACUAAUUCAAGAAAACCACGAGAAAACUCUUUUGGAAGCUGUUUCCUACACGAAAAUCUUUUCUUUUUAAAACACGCUACCACGAGGGGUAGAAAACUUUUCCUUUUUACAAAAAUCCAGAAAUUUUUAUCUCAUUCGAAAAACCAAAUGAAAUCUUGAAUAAUUAAACAUAAUGAAAUACUGAACCAUAUAGAUGUCUAAGUCAAAUCAACAGAAAUAAUGAAGGUAGUAACUAAACUACACAAACCUAGUCAAAAGCUCUAUCGACAGCUAUCCACGUGUCUCACGUCUCGUCUCAACCUCACUGUCUGCAAUACCUGAAAAAUGGUAGGGGAGGUGAGAACAUGUAAACAUGUCUCCCCUUCCAGUGGGUACCGCAAGCCGACGAAGGCGAGGAGUACUCACCGGAUCAGGAAGAGAUAAACAACAGUACAGGUUAAUGGAAAUACAGUAGCAACGAUAAUGAACGAAAUAUAUAUAUAUAUAUAUAUAUAUAUAGAGUCCGGCUACUAUGCUAUCGGUAGCACGGAGCGCUCUGUGCUACCAAGUUGUUUUCGAUGAUGCGGCUUCCAAAUCGACGAUCGGCUCCGUUAGACUUGAUCUACACUAUUGAAAGCAUUUGGAAACUAAAUUUCAGAUUUUUUCGACAUCAUUUGACUAGUGAUCAAAAGAUCUCAAAAUUGACAAUUUUAAUGGCCGAUGUGGUGUGUUUGUGAGUUUAACGGUGUAAA